rnacentral:rRNA from 1 species
UACGAAGGGGGCUAGCGUUGCUCGGAAUCACUGGGCGUAAAGGGUGCGUAGGCGGGUCUUUAAGUCAGAGGUGAAAUCCUGGAGCUCAACUCCAGAACUGCCUUUGAUACUGAGGAUCUUGAGUUCGGGAGAGGUGAGUGGAACUGCGAGUGUAGAGGUGAAAUUCGUAGAUAUUCGCAAGAACACCAGUGGCGAAGGCGGACUCACUGGCCCGAUACUGACGCUGAGGCACGAAAGCGUGGG